rnacentral:rRNA from 1 species
GCCUAACACAUGCAAGUCGAACGGUAACAGGGAAACAGCUUGCUGUUUCGCUGACGAGUGGCGGACGGGUGAGUAAUGUCUGGGAAACUGCCUGAUGGAGGGGGAUAACUACUGGAAACGGUAGCUAAUACCGCAUAACGUCGCAAGACCAAAGAGGGGGACCUUCGGGCCUCUUGCCAUCGGAUGUGCCCAGAUGGGAUUAGCUAGUAGGUGGGGUAACGGCUCACCUAGGCGACGAUCCCUAGCUGGUCUGAGAGGAUGACCAGCCACACUGGAACUGAGACACGGUCCAGACUCCUACGGGAGGCAGCAGUGGGGAAUAUUGCACAAUGGGCGCAAGCCUGAUGCAGCCAUGCCGCGUGUAUGAAGAAGGCCUUCGGGUUGUAAAGUACUUUCAGCGGGGAGGAAGGGAGUAAAGUUAAUACCUUUGCUCAUUGACGUUACCCGCAGAAGAAGCACCGGCUAACUCCGUGCCGGCAGCCGCGGUAAUACGGAGGGUGCAAGCGUUAAUCGGAAUUACUGGGCGUAAAGCGCACGCAGGCGGUUUGUUAAGUCAGAUGUGAAAUCCCCGGGCUCAACCUGGGAACUGCAUCUGAUACUGGCAAGCUUGAGUCUCGUAGAGGGGGGUAGAAUUCCAGGUGUAGCGGUGAAAUGCGUAGAGAUCUGGAGGAAUACCGGUGGCGAAGGCGGCCCCCUGGACGAAGACUGACGCUC